ACAAAAUCUUAAUUCUAAUAGAAUACUAACAAUGCUCUAAUUAGACUAUAAUAAUGGUAAACAAACGUAAUCAAAUUCAAAACAACUCAAAGAAAUUUCAAACAAAUAAUAAAAUUCUUAAAGAAAUAUUAGAAUGAUCACAAAUAUUACUCAAAUAUAUGUCAAUUCAACCUUAAUUUAAUUCUAGUUAAAACCCUAUUGAAUUUCACUCAAACUUUAGACCAAACCUAAUUAAAUCUUAAACCCUAAUAAAUCCUAAACCCUAAUAAAUCCUAAACCCUAAGUUAAAUCCUAAACAAACCUUAAAUUAAAUCCUAAAUCAAACCCUAAAUCAAUCCUAAACCCUAAACUAAACCCUAAA
rnacentral:lncRNA from 1 species